UACGAAAGGAGCAGGCGUUAUUCAGAUUAACUGGGCGUAAAGGGCACGUAGGUGGUUUGUUAUGUGUACUAUAAAAUUAUAAAGCAUAACUUUAUACUGUAGUAUAGACAGCUAAACUAGAGUUAGGUAGAGGGUAGUAGAAUUUCUAAUGUAAAGGUGAAAUUUGAUAAAUUUAGAGAGAAUACCAAUGGCGGAGGCAACGACCUGGGCCUGAACUGACACUGAGGUGCGUAAGUAUGGGGAGCAAACAGG
rnacentral:rRNA from 1 species